rnacentral:lncRNA from 1 species
CAAUUUAUCCCAAGUUGGAGUGCUCCGAAAUAUAACAGCGAAAAUACCUAUACAGAACAAAACAUAGGUUUCUUUCCCCCUUACUUAUAUUCCCUAUCACAAAAUGUUCGUUGUUAGAAUAAAAUACAAGGAACUUCUGAAAGAGUUGCCUUCAACUGCAAUUAUGUUGUAUGCUGGCGAAAUAAAACUAUCCAUAGCCGCUGUAUGUUUAUUCACCUGUCCUGAUUGAUUCAGGGACCUGUCGUUCAGCAGUUGUCGUUUGUUGAUGUGGUGCAUUGGUAUUU